rnacentral:rRNA from 1 species
CGGGUGAGUAACACGUGAGCAACCUGCCUUUCAGUGGGGGACAACAGUUGGAAACGACUGCUAAUACCGCAUAACGUGCCGGAAGGGCAUCCUUUUGGUACCAAAGAUUUAUCGCUGAAAGAUGGGCUCGCGUCUGAUUAGAUAGGUGGUGAGGUAACGGCCCACCAAGUCGACGAUCAGUAGCCGGACUGAGAGGUUGAGUCGGCCACAUUGGGACCUGAGACACGGCCCAGACUCCUACGGAAGGCAGCAG